AGAGAGUUAGUUUAUAAAAAACAUUUACUUGUCAAGUGAAGGAAAAUGAUUUGUUAUUCUCUG
rnacentral:tRNA from 1 species